CAUUUUGCCUCGUACUUCCACUUCCGCACGAGAUGACGAAGUUCCUGAAGCCCGGUAAGGUGGUCAUCGUGACGGCUGGCCGCUACGCCGGCCACAAGGCGGUGAUCGUGCAGAACUCUGACAUCGCGACGAAGGAGCGCCCGUACGGCCGCGCGCUGCUUGCGGGCAUCAAGAAGUACCCGAAGAAGGUCGUGCGCGGGAUGAGCAAGCAGACGAUCGCGCGCCGCUCGCAGGUGGGCGUGUUCCUGCGCGUUGUGAACCACAAGCACUUCCUGCCCACCCGCUACAACGUGGACAUGUCGAAGGAGCUGCGCGGCAAGAUCAACGUGUCUGACGCGUCGAAGCGCUCGCGCUCGAAGAGGCUGGUGAGGCACGUGUUCCAGGCGCGCUACAACGCCGGCAGCAGCAUGUGGUUCUUCCAGCGCCUGCGCUUCUAAGCAGCGGAGGCACGGAGCAGUCUGAGAGGGGCUUCUCGGGCGGGCGCGGCGGACGGCCGAUCUGGAGGCUGGAGAGCGCCGAAGGGGUGCACGGCCGCCUUCUCUGUCCCUUCCGACCCAUCUGUGCAAAGCCGCUAACGCCCCGCCGCCUCCGGGCAUUCGAAUGGGCGCUCUCGUGCACGCCCGACUUCCUCCUGGACGUGCCCUCCCACUCGGCUCGUCGUACACGCAUCCGCGUCCGCCUGUUUCAUCGAUGUGUUCUGUUGCCCUCUUUUGCGCUCAGCGUGAUAUGCGCCUGCGUGCGUCUAUCCCGCUCCUGGCGUGCAUGUGCGGCUGCUCUCGCGCCGUAGCGCCAGGCGGCGCCGGGAGCCUCGGCGGAGAAAUACACACCCAGGCUUGCGUGAGGUGAAAAACAAAACAGAAGGAAGGAAAGGCGGUUGCCAGCGCGCCAUGACAUGCGGGCUUGAUGUGCGACUGGGGCGUGGUGUAGUGGCAGCGGAGGAUACUGCGCGGAAGACGGUCUUUUCGCCACAUGCGUGCGCGUGGAAUUCCGAGUGCAGCGACCGGCGACGGAGAAGGACAGAAGAAGGGGAAAGCGAGUCAACGCACGCGCACACGCGCUCUUUCAGAAGGGGGGAGGAGCGAGGGAUGGCAGCUCGAGAAAAGGAGAAGGAGUGGGAGAGGCGCCUACGUGAUGAGCUGCAAAGGCGUGGCAUCUGCGGUGCACCUCCAGAGCAGUGGUGCUGACCUUCGCCAUCAAGAGGGUUCCUAGAGCUGCUCACAUGUAUCUUUCCUCCUCGCUCUCUGCUUCUUAGCGAAGCGCCGCGUUACCUUCUCUCUCUCUGUGUGUGCGUGCGUUCACUGACUCCUUUCGUUGUCCUACUUUGACGUUGCCGCUCACGCAUGUGCGUGCCGGUGCCGGUGCGCCUGCACGCACCUGCGCGUCUCUCUCUUUCCUUUUCGUUUGGUCGUUUCUUCUUUUCGAGCUUCAAAACAACGUAAAAGGUCAAACAUGAACGCAGGACGGAAAGCCUGCAAGGCGAUCAUGAGAGCGGUCAGCCAGGGAGGAGCCUGGAUUCGGGUCACCCCCACACCCCCACCUUCU
rnacentral:misc_RNA from 1 species